UCCUGGGCUUUGUCCCUCAGGCUAGACAGCCCAAGGUGCAGGCCAGAGGCUGGGAGGGCUUUCGCAAACUCUUCUGGUCCCUGAACACACGGCUCUGCCUCCUGCUCACUGCCUCCUGGUCUCUUUGCUCUCUGGACUCCCUGGCCAGUAGGGCCAAGUGGUCGUCUUGAUCCUGGACAUUUUCCCCCUUUCUGUUUGGCUCCGGGUGGAAGGAUUAGAAAUAAUUUUAGGGGAAAAAAAGCAAAUUAGCAUCAAUUGAAAAAAUUCAAGGCCAAAACUAUACAAAAUUGAGUGUAAAAUUGACAGCUCCUUCUGUUGUCGGCUUUAGUUGUCAGAAGCAU
rnacentral:lncRNA from 10 species